CUCGUAUUGCUUUCGAGUUUAUUAAAAAGAAAAAUGAAAUAUUUUCUUAUAUUCGUGUGCCUUCAGUCGCUUCUGAUUGGCGUUCUAUCAGAUGGUGUGAACGGCGGAGUUCAAACGAAUCAAACAAGAAUAAAAAACAAGUCAUACAAAAACAUUCUGAGUGGAUGAGAGACUUUUUGGCAUCGGGCACGUGAUUUGGCGAUGGCAUAACUCAAUGAGCAACGUUACCUAAUUGGGCACCUGAUCUACCAAAAAGUAACCAAGAUGACAAGUACAUAAGCAUUU